CGGGUCCUCACUUUACGGUUUUCUUUCGUUUUGCACGGUUAUUUCGUUACCUUAUACUCACCUAGCUGUUCAUGUAAAAUCUGUUGUUUAAAAUCUGUUUUGGUUAAAAUCUGUUCGGUUAAAACUACAAACGAAAUACAAUUUUUCGCCUACACACUGAUCCCUACUGGUCUUUUGGUGUACUACAGGCUUCUUAGACAUUAUCGAAUUUCAUGUACAAACCAACGAACCACUGCAUUUUCGCCUACACACUGACCCCUACUGGUCUUUUGGUGUACUACAGGCUUCUUAGACAUUAUCGCAUUUCAUGU